rnacentral:misc_RNA from 1 species
GAUGAAGAACGUAGCGAAAUGCGAUAAGUAAUGUGAAUUGCAGAAUUCAGUGAAUCAUCGAGUCUUUGAACGCACAUUGCGCCCCCUGGUAUUCCGGGGGGCAUGCCUGUCCGAGCGUCAUUGCUGCCCUCAAGCACGGCUUGUGUGUUGGGCCGUCGUCCCCCCCCUAGGGGACGGGCCCGAAAGGCAGCGGCGGCACCGCGUCCGGUCCUCGAGCGUAUGGGGCUUCGUCACCCGCUCCGUAGGCCCGGCCGGCGCUUGCCGACGACCAUCAAUCUCUUUCUCCAGGUUGACCUCGGAUCAGGUAGGGAUACCCGCUGAACUUAAGCAUAUCAAUAAGCGGAGGA